UACAGAGGGUGCGAGCGUUGUUCGGAAUUAUUGGGCGUAAAGGGCGCGUAGGCGGUGCCACAAGUCACUUGUGAAAUCUCCGGGCUUAACUCGGAGCCUGCAGGCGAAACUACGGAGCUGGAGUGUGGCAGAGGAAGGUGGAAUUCCACGUGUAGCGGUGAAAUGCGUAGAGAUGUGGAGGAACACCAAUGGCGAAGGCAGCCUUCUGGGCCAACACUGACACUCAUGCACGAAAGCGUGGGGAGCAAACAGG
rnacentral:rRNA from 1 species